GAAAUGCGAUAAGUAAUGUGAAUUGCAGAAUUCAGUGAAUCAUCGAAUCUUUGAACGCACAUUGCGCCCGCCAGUAUUCUGGCGGGCAUGCCUGUCCGAGCGUCAUUUCAACCAUCAAGCCCCCGGGCUUGUGUUGGGGACCUGCGGCUGCCCGCAGGCCCUGAAAACCAGUGGCGGGCUCGCUGUCACACCGAGCGUAGUAGCAAUCACCUCGCUCAGGGCGUGCUGCGGGUUCCGGCCGUUAAACAGCCUUACAAAACCCAAGGUUGACCUCCGAUCAGGUAGGAAGACCCGCUGAACUUAAGC
rnacentral:misc_RNA from 1 species